rnacentral:rRNA from 1 species
GACGAACGCUGGCGGCGCGCCUAACACAUGCAAGUCGAACGGAGCGUACCGAGUUGAAGGUUUCGGCCGGAAACAUGGUAUUGCUUAGUGGCGAACGGGUGAGUAACACGUGAAUAACCUGCCCUGGAGUGGGGGACAACAUCUGGAAACGGAUGCUAAUACCGCAUAAGACCACGGUACCGCAUGGUACAGUGGCCAAAGGAGCAAUUCGCUCUGGGAUGGAUUCGCGUCUGAUUAGCUAGUUGGUGAGGUAACGGCCCACCAAGGCAACGAUCAGUAGCCGGACUGAGAGGUCGAUCGGCCACAUUGGGACUGAGAUACGGCCCAGACUCCUACGGGAGGCAGCAGUGGGGAAUAUUGGGCAAUGGGCGAAAGCCUGACCCAGCGACGCCGCGUGAGGGAAGAAGGUUUUCGGAUUGUAAACCUCUGUCUUCGGGGAAGAUAAUGACGGUACCCGAGGAGGAAGCCACGGCUAACUACGUGCCAGCCGCCGCAGUAACAC